AUUUUUUAAAAAUCACACUCACAAGUAAAAAAUCAGUAAUUUGUUUACAAAGUGUAAUAUACCAGUACAGUGAAUUCAUCUUAAAGAAUGUGGCUUCUCAAGUUUUAAAUGUCCCUUGGUUUCCAUUUAAUUCAUGGUUUAAAAUUUGGUUGUGUUGCAUAACAUGAGAAACCUUUGUAAUGGAGCCUAGGCCCUUAACACCUCCUCUUAAUUGCAACAUAAGUGAGUAUGAAACCUGGAAACUAAAUUGUCAAUAUCAAAUCAAUGAGGUACAGAUUAUCUUAAUAAAAUUUAUAAUCUGUUGUGUGCAGUCAGUAACCCCAACACACAUUACUGCUUUGCAAUAAAUUUUGAAUGGUUUGCAUGUCCUUUGAUAACUGAAGAUUUUUCCUGCUUUUUUCUCCAGGUCUCAGUUUGGCAAAAUCCUUCUUAUUUUGGUUCCUGUGACUCCAGAAGGAUGGCUGCUGCUGUUUUCUUCUGCAUCAAGAGUCUUUUUGUUAGCUCUAACUUGCUGCUUCUGCUUCUCUAGCUUCUGUUUCUCCAGCUGUGCUUGGUAUUUUCAAACUUUAGCUGUUUGGUUGGCUUUUGCUUCCAUCCUUCCUAGUAAUGCCUCUAGUUCACACUGCAUUCUUUCAGUUCAGUGUUUGGUAACUCCCGUGUAAGUUUUGCAAGCUGUUGGUGAUCAAACGUCAUCUGGCAAAACUCAUCCUGUAAAGUCUAUAAGAGUUCUGACAAUUCUUGAUUGAUGCUUUUGGAAGAGUUUAACAAAGGAUUCUUGAAAUCAGGAAAUGAGGUUUCAUUAAGUCGCUGAACUGGACAAACUGGUGAUCCUCCUGCUUCAGUCUCCCAGGGUGCUGGGAUCACAAUUCUCAGCACUGAACAGGAGAUUCUGGACGUUGUUCUUUAGACCCCUGUAAUAAAAAUUAUUUAUUCAGCACAUCAAUAAAUGUGAGGAAAUGAACUUGGGUCCUUGCGCUUGCACAGCAGGUGGCGAAACCACUGAGCCAAAUCCCAGGCCCGAGACAGGAUGAUUUUAUACUGCUCUCUGUGACAGUGGAAGGGACGUCAGCCAGGAAUCCAGCUGGCCUAGAAGCUGGAGAAGGAAAAGCUGGAAAAGACCAUUCUAUGGAGACCCCCAGAAGGAAUCCAGACCUGCUGACAUGUUGAAUUCAGCUUUGAAAAACCAUUUAGUUUUCUCGAGCUUAAAAUUUGUAAAAUAAUACAUUUGUAUUGUUUUAUGCCACUCUGUAUAUGGGAGUUUGUUACAGACUCAAUAAGAAAAGAAUAUGGUGUUAUAUUGAAUCAUCACUUCCCAACUCUUAUCAACUUGUUUAUUUUAGCCUACAAAGAUCCAUUUUAGACUUCUCACCCCAGUAUGAAAGAUGAUAAAUCUGUUUUAUUCUGUUAAAUUUGUAGUAAAAUGUUACAGUAAAAUUGGGGAAUUAAAUUAGAUUUUUAGUUAUCUACCCUUAGUUAUGCAGGAAAUUGGUCUUAUGGCUCUGCCAGGAAGUUCCCUC
rnacentral:lncRNA from 1 species